GCAAAUGUGAUUUUCAUACUAUUCUUCCAGACUUGCCUAGUGUUGACGCUGUGCGCCGCUUUCUGGUGGAAAAACUUUGGUCUGGCGUUGUUUUUUGUCAUCCUGCAAGUGUUGUCAUUCAGCUGGUACAGCCUUUCUUACAUCCCGUUUGUCAGGGACGCCAUCUUGAGGUUGGUGGCCAUGUGCAUGAAAUGAGGCCUGUUUCAUCAGUGUUUUUUUUUUUUUUUUUUUUGAAAGGGGCAGGUUUCCCCAACCUCCCGUGUUUUAUUUUUAACAAGUUAGUGGGGUGCAUGUCCUUGAUGUAUAUUUUGUUAUUCCUGAUUUUGUCAUAUGUUCACACAAAACUAUGCUUUAGCGCUACAAAACCUGUUGUAUUUUGAUGUAUGAAUAGUCCAUUUUAAAUUAAAAUGUUUGUUACAUAUUACUGCUACUGCAAAGUGUCACAACUUGUUUCCAAAAAUAAAAAUUAAGAAAAUGAAAAUUACGUGACUUUCAUUUCACAAAUAAAUUCAAAAUUUUCAUUUUAUUUUAAUAUACAUGUUAAAAUUAUUGUGUUGUUUAUUCAGUUAGUUUUGUAUAUUUAUUUUCUGUGGAUUGAACGAUAUGGUACCAUUUGAUUGUAACAAAUUG